AGCGGGGUAGAGCAGUGGUAGCUCGUCAGGCUCAUAAUCUGAAGGUCCUGGGUUCGAAUCCCAGCCCCGCAA
rnacentral:tRNA from 3 species